rnacentral:tRNA from 1 species
AGAGAUUUAGGUUAGUACUUAAAACCAAGAGCCUUCAAAGCC